GCGGAGGAAAAGAAACCCAACCGGGAUUGCCUUAGUAACGGCGAGUGAAACGGCAAAAGCUCAAAUUUGAAAUCUGGUACCUUCGGUGCCCGAGUUGUAAUUUGGAGAGGGCAACUUUGGGGCCGUUCCUUGUCUAUGUUCCUUGGAACAGGACGUCAUAGAGGGUGAGAAUCCCGUGUGGCGAGGAGUGCGGUUCUUUGUAAAGUGCCCUCGAAGAGUCGAGUUGUUUGGGAAUGCAGCUCUAAGUGGGUGGUAAAUUCCAUCUAAAGCUAAAUAUUGGCGAGAGACCGAUAGCGAACAAGUACAGUGAUGGAAAGAUGAAAAGAACUUUGAAAAGAGAGUGAAAAAGUACGUGAAAUUGUUGAAAGGGAAGGGCAUUUGAUCAGACAUGGUGUUUUGUGCCCUCUGCUCCUUGUGGGUAGGGGAAUCUCGCAUUUCACUGGGCCAGCAUCAGUUUUGGUGGCAGGAUAAAUCCAUAGGAAUGUAGCUUGCCUCGGUAAGUAUUAUAGCCUGUUGGGAAUACUGCCAGCUGGGACUGAGGACUGUGNGACGUAAGUCAAGGAUGCUGGCGUAAUGUAUAUGCC
rnacentral:rRNA from 1 species